GACGGAGGAUGCAAGCGUUAUCCGGAAUUAUUGGGCGUAAAGCGUCCGCAGGUGGCUUUUCAAGUCUGUUGUCAAAGCGCGGGGCUUAACUCCGUACAGGCAAUGGAAACUGUGAAGCUAGAGUAUGGUAGGGGUAGAGGGAAUUCCCGGUGUAGCGGUGAAAUGCGUAGAUAUCGGGAAGAACACCAGUGGCGAAAGCGCUCUGCUGGACCAUAACUGACACUGAGGGACGAAAGCUAGGGGAGCGAAAGGG
rnacentral:rRNA from 1 species